GUUUUUAUAGUGUAUUUUUAACAUAUUGUAUUUUCAUUACAAAGCUGAUUUAUUUUAUCUAAAAACU
rnacentral:tRNA from 1 species